rnacentral:rRNA from 1 species
CAGUCGUACCUUCGGGUAAUCAGCCUUUCGGGUGCGAUUCUGUGGGAUGUGAAGAGUUUAACGCCUUCACGUUUUGCACAUUCGUGCUCUUGGGUGUACUUGCCCGUGUGUAAGUUAACAUCAAUUUUGGUGGUCAUAAAAUGGCUGGAGGAAUGUAGCUUCGAUCUUGUAUUGAGG